CUCAUGUAUAUUUUUGUCCAUCUCUCAUUUGCUUACUCUAUAUACUCUUUUUUCUUUCCAUCUUUCAUUCUCCGAUUUUCAUUCUAUUUCUUUCUUUUCGAAGAUCUUAGAUCUUCGAAAACCUUAUUCAUUUCCACAUUCUAAUCAAUCAGGACCGUCCUUCAACUUCCGAAGAUUCUCCUGCUUCGCAAUAACUUUGUUCUGAUCGUUGAUCGGCUUUUGAUUCUUUGAUCUUUGUAUAGGUAGUGAUCGGAGAAAGAUGGUUUCGUUGCAAGGACCGGUGAUUUGCCCUUCCGUUCACAGCAAACAGGUUGGGGUUGACACGCUGAUGGUGAAUAGGCCUUCUCCUUGGGCGAGGUUGCUUAGAAGUGAUAUAUGGGGACGUACAAGAGUGAUUGAUGGAAUGAAGUCUCAUAAACUGAAAAUACGAUAUUGCAAGACCAUGGUGCACUGUAGUUUCAGUUCAUCUUCAGAUGGGAGUGGAAGCAUGGCUGAGAGUUUCAAUGAGAAGGAUGAAGAUUAUGUUAAUUCCACUGUGGUUGAAGCUGGUAUAUGGGUUCUCAUUAAGCCAGUGAUUGUUGAUCAUGUGAAGAGCGGACCUGAUGGAUUUAUAAUUAAAAUGAGGGAUGGUAGGCAUUUAAGAUGUAUUCAAAACAAUCCGCAAGCUGGAAAUCUGCCAGAUUAUGCACCGCAUCCUGCGAUUGUUCUGAAGAUGGAAGAUGGGACUGGUCUUCUUCUCCCAAUCAUUGUUUUGGAGAUGCCAAGUGUGUUGCUCAUGGCAGCAAUGAGCAAUGUCCAAAUUCCUAGACCUACAAUGUAUCAAGUUGUUAAGGACAUGAUUGAAAAGAUGGGCUACUCGGUAAAGCUUGUCAGAGUUACUAAAAGGGUGCAUGAGGCCUAUUUUGCUCAGUUGUACCUAACAAAGGUGGGUGAUGAAACAGAGUGUGUUAGUUUUGACCUUCGGCCUUCUGAUGCUAUCAACAUUGCUGUGAGAUGCAAGGUACCUAUACAAGUGAAUAAGUACUUGGCAUAUAGUGAUGGAAUGCGAGUGAUGGAAUCAGGGAAGCUGUCCGUACAGUCCACAGCUUCAGAUGUUUUACCACAUGCCGAACUGGACCAGCCAAGUGGUCAGCCUUGUCUCGAUUCAGAGGAGUUCAAAAUUGUCGGCGACUUAAAUGAGGCUAUUUCUCAGGAACGUUACAAGGAUGCUGGUACUCUCCCUGUGUCUUUCUCAGACAUUGCAUUGCUGUUUAACAUAGGCUUAAGCCAUUUGUCUUUUGUCCAAUAGAAUAUCUAUCUAAUUAUGAUUAAAAAGAAGACUGGAGUGUAAUUAGAAUCGUAGCAUCGCUUGGACCUUCCUCUUCAUUUGUCAGCUUUUUUUUUUUGUUGUUAAUUAUCAUUAAUAUGUUUAUCAUGAUUCUGAUGCUCUCUGACAGCUGAUUUGAGAGACAAACUUGAUAAGUUCCGGGCAGCAAGGAACUUGAGGAAAUUCACGUGACAGUUGUUUAUGCUGGAGUUUUCAAGUGUAAAUAGCAGUUAUUGUUGAAGCUGACAUCUAUCGAUCCGGCCGCAAGCAAUUGUUUCUCAUCCUUUUUUAUUAAUUCAUAUCAAUUUAUAUGGAAUAGGGAAGUCCCGUGAAUAUAUAUGUAUAUAAAUAAUCUUUGUACAGAUAUAGUUAGAAUAUUGGUAACAAUUAUUAUUAUUAUUAUUAUUAUUAUUAUUAUUAUUAUAUGUUAAAGCACGUUGGUUUA